AUGAAGAACGUAGCGAAAUGCGAUAAGUAAUGUGAAUUGCAGAAUUCAGUGAAUCAUCGAAUCUUUGAACGCACAUUGCGCCCCCUGGUAUUCCGGGGGGCAUGCCUGUUCGAGCGUCAUUACAACCCUCAAGCUCUGCUUGGUAUUGGGCCCCGCCAGUUCUGGCGGGCCCUAAAGUCAGUGGCGGUGCAUUCCGGCUCCGAGCGUAGUAAUUCUUCUCGCUCUGGAGACCCGGUUGUGUGCUUGCCAACAACCCCCAAUUUUUUAAGGUUGACCUCGGAUCAGGUAGGGAUACCCGCUGAACUUAAGCAUAUCAAUAAGCGGAGGA
rnacentral:misc_RNA from 1 species